rnacentral:rRNA from 1 species
GACGAACGCUGGCGGCGUGCUUAACACAUGCAAGUCGAACGGAAAGGCCCAGCUUGCUGGGUGCUCGAGUGGCGAACGGGUGAGUAACACGUGGGUGAUCUGCCCCUAACUUCGGGAUAAGCUUGGGAAACUGGGUCUAAUACCGGAUAGGACAAUCGUUUAGUGUCGGUUGUGGAAAGUUUUUUCGGUUAGGGAUGAGCCCGCGGCCUAUCAGCUUGUUGGUGGGGUAAUGGCCUACCAAGGCGUCGACGGGUAGCCGGCCUGAGAGGGUGGACGGCCACAUUGGGACUGAGAUACGGCCCAGACUCCUACGGGAGGCAGCAGUGGGGAAUAUUGCACAAUGGGCGCAAGCCUGAUGCAGUGACGCCGCGUGGGGGAUGACGGCCUUCGGGUUGUAAACCUCUUUCGACAGGGACGAAGCUUUGGUGACGGUACCUGUAUAAGAAGCACCGGCUAACUACGUGCCAGCCGCCGCCGUAACAC